AUGUCGGAGACGGCCCGUCCGAACCCGACGAGCCGCUGCUCCCCACGCCGCCCGAGCCCGAGGUCUAGCUCCAGGCCCAUGAAGCGCCGGUCGUCCCCUCCGUCGUCUUCCUCCAAGAACCUGGUCCCGCAGAAGACGGACACGACCAGGAAGCUGUGCGCCACGGCGGUGCGGAGCUUGCGGAUGUCGACGGGCUCCGGCCGCGCGGCGGCUUCCGGCGGGGAGAGGCGUAUGGCGCAGGAGUGCGCGCAGGCGAGCAUGAGGGCCUGGAGGUGGGCCGGGUCGACGAGGGCUGGGUCCAUGGAGAUGGAGAUCGGCGGGGGCCAGAGCCUGGGCCUGGCGACGCGCUUGUUGGGGCCGAAGGGGCUCGGUGUCGGCGAGGAUUUGACCGCAAGCGUGGUGAGACGCGGCGGAAGCCUGCUCACGCCGGCGGCCAUGGGGAGGGUGACGAGUGAGUGGUCGUGGUCCCGUGGAAGUGGAGCUCUGCGGGUGGGCGCCAAUGGAGGUUGGUGA
rnacentral:rRNA from 1 species